GACGAACGCUGGCGGCGUGCUUAACACAUGCAAGUCGAACGGAAAGGCCCUGCUUGCAGGGUGCUCGAGUGGCGAACGGGUGAGUAACACGUGGGUGAUCUGCCCCUUACUUUGGGAUAAGCCUGGGAAACUGGGUCUAAUACUGGAUAGGACCAUGCUGUAGGUGGUGUGGUGGAAAGAUUAGUUUCGGUAAGGGAUGAGCUCGCGGCCUAUCAGCUUGUUGGUGGGGUAAUGGCCUACCAAGGCGUCGACGGGUAGCCGGCCUGAGAGGGUGGACGGCCACAUUGGGACUGAGAUACGGCCCAGACUCCUACGGGAGGCAGCAGGGGGGAAUAUUGCACAAUGGGCGCAAGCCUGAUGCAGCGACGCCGCGUGGGGGAUGACGGCCUUCGGGUUGUAAACUCCUUUCAGCCAUGACGAAGCCUUCGGGUGACGGUAGUGGUAGAAGAAGCACCGGCUAACUACGUG
rnacentral:rRNA from 1 species